GCGGCGCAGGGACGACGUCGUCGAUGGAGGUGUGGAUAUUGGUGACAGAGAUCACCGGUGGGGGAAGAGGGGAGGAGAUGCGUGAGUGAGGAAGGGAGAAUAAGGAUGCGACCAUUUUUUAUUUUUUUUAGUUGAGGGUAAAUUUGUACUUUUGCACAAAAACUGGCCAGUUUUUAAUGUUUUUAUUUCAUAGGCCAAAUUUUAAUUUUACUAUAUGAAAGUGGACACUUCUAUAUAUUAAC
rnacentral:lncRNA from 1 species